CAGUCCAUGCACUUGACAGCCUUGCACUGCCUCUGCUUCCCCACCAAGGAAAAGCCCUCAAGAGCCUGCACAGCAAGACUGCAGCCAGGACCAUGACGUCAGUGCCACCCAGAAGCUGCUUGUCCUUCCAGAUCCUUCCAUGGGGAACAGAGGCUUUCAUUCCUCCAAUAGAGAUGCUGCUGAUGUGUGAACCAGAGCUUUGCAGCCUCUGUGUCCACCGGAUCAAGAGGUGUAUGAACAGACGGAUCCACGCAGGCCUCGGGCACGUGGACAGGGCUCAGAGCCACACUCCCCGCCCUGACCAGCCCCCUCUAGCCUUGGGUGGUGGUCACAGCGACAGUACAAACGUCACCAUUCCCUGUGACGGACAGGAAGUGAAGAUAGUCAGAGGGCAGCAGAUCGUCCUGGUGAGCAGAUUUUCAACAGCGUGAGUUCUGCCAGAGGCACCCCACCCCCUCAGCUUUUUAGCCAGCCCGUCACUACCUGCAGGAGGUGGGGCCAGGGUGCAGGGCCAGGGCUUUGGUGGAGAAAGAUUUGCAUAAAUCCAGCCAUCCCAGAAUCCUCCCUGGUCAAUUUUUUUUUUCCCCAUUCUUAUCCAAGAAGAGUCCAAGACUUUUAUCCAAGAGAAGAGUCUGCCUCAGCCAGCCUCAUGUCCUUCCUCUUCUCUGGCCCUGUGCUCGGAAUUCGGGAGCAGAUGUGGCAGCCUGUGACUGUGCCCUUUAGCCCUGGUGGCGGGGGACACCUCCCGUUACCAUUCAGCAGGAAGACUCCAGAACUGACAACCAGGCUUACCUCUGGCAGUUCCAUCAACAAAGUCCUCCUCCCCCCACAUUGAAGGGAUUAUUUUAAAAAUGAGAAUGUGAUAGAUUUUCUAAGCCAGAGCUAUAUUGCUUUCCCCCAAAGCAGUUUUCAAACAUUUCAAAAAUGUUAGCUAGUGAGUCCAAAAGCUCCUUUUAUUCUUUCUGUUUUCUCCCACUCUGAAAAUACACACACGUAGAUCUGUGUACACAGCACACUUGAAGGCAUAUUUUCCAGGAUGUAACUAACAAAGGGAAGAAUGUGGUGGUGGUUGGAAUUCUGGCGCUUGCAAGACAUGGGUCUGUGCUCUGCAUUUCAGUACAGAGGUGAUCACACUGUUAUGGGCAGAGCAUCUGCUCCCUUCACCUGCAGCCUCCACCCUCCUCUUCCUCUGCUCCCUGACCUGACCCGAGAGGCGUUUGAACUAACACGAUCAAGGUGUCGGGACCAGUAUCCCACCCUCCCGCCACCGUGCUUGGCAAGUUCCCAGGGCCUGCAAGUCACACACGGGCCAAGUCGUGGCCUCUUUCCAACAAAAUGGGUACAUGUCCAUGUCAGGCCCAUCUUGCUGCCCUUCAUUAUAACUGUGGUCAAGGAGAAAGGAGUAAGUAGGCUUGGGUACUACAAGGCAAAGCAAUAUUCGAAAGUUUAACAUAUGCUUAUUUUCUAAAAUGUAAGACCUCCAUGGUGAUUGGGGGACUUGGGUGCCCGUCUUCAAUUCUUGUGCCGCAAAGGCCGGGAGGAAACCAUCCCUUUCCCAGGUGCUCUGACCUUGGCCUUGGGAUGCGUGGGCCCACUCCCCAUGUACAGAGGCGGCAUCCUUUGCACAUGGCAGGGCUGUGUGGAGAAACGGGCCCCUGGUGCCUGGGACAUUCCUUCACAGAGGCUCUCCUAGCAACAUGGCGACGCCAGCCAACCCAACAAUGACCUUUUGUCUCUAGCUCUCCUCAGCUCUGUGGCCAUUAGUCUCACCAGAAAACUCAAAGGAUAUUUUGCAAGAGAAGAGUGGUUGCGAGCUAAAGCUCUGAAUCAGUUGCUUUCCUCUGCUUUCUGCAAAUAUCAAACUGGGCUUGCGCCAGAUGAUCGCUUUAGGAGCAGGAAGUACCCAGAGAGGUGCCCUGGAUGGGGGAAAGCUGAGUCUGGAUGGCCCGCGUCCUGGCUCUGGGUAGGGAAGCCCCUCUGUACCACAUCCCUGAACUGUCUGGACCUUAGUGUCCUCAUCUUCCAAAUGAAGCACUAAUUCUCAACAGCGCAGAGUCCUUGCUAACAGUCCAGAUUCCCGAGCUAACAGUAGUUCCCCUGCUGACUCAGAAUCUCUGGGACUGAGCUCUGCCAACGUGACUUUUCACCAAAGGCCAAUAUAGACCUUGCUGAACAAUUGUAAAAACGCUUAGGUAAUUAACUUUCUAAUUUUGUUUACUUGGCACGAGAGGACCAACACACACACACUCAGGAUUGGUAUGCUACAUGCAUUGUGGGGAAUGUGUUUUUUUUUUCUGAUAGAGUUUGCAAAGGACAGAACCAGCCCAUUUUCUUUGCUGUUCCUGGUUAGUUAUCUUCUAUACAAGAAUGUAAAUCAUGCCUCUCUAUCGGCAAAUCACUUUGGACUGUGUGCUUCCAAUAGAUACACUUUAAAAAUUUUGAUAUAUCUGUAUUUACUUAUAUUUUGCUUUAGUAUGAACAUGUUACGACUGUGUUCCUAAUGUUAAAAAAAUAAAUGUUU
rnacentral:lncRNA from 1 species